GUUUUAGAUCCAGUGCCCAGAUCUUAGGAGCUGGGAAAUUCCCAUCACACCAAGCAUUUGAUGCCCUCUCUCUUCCGGUGUUUUUGGUUCUUCUGGGGAGGUGCUAGAACUCGGUGACAUCCCCUCCCACAGAUGUGGUGCAUGGGCCCAGGGCAAACCCCAUAAACAUGCCCAGAAGACACCAAGAGUGAGGCCUGGAGAUGAAGCUCCAAAACUGGUAUGCACAUAGGAAGCCACAACACUGUAGGAAUGGGGAUUGGAGCUGGAAAAGCAAAAAGCAAGCUAUGGAAAGUCUGUGUGGCCAAAACUAGAGAGCAAGUCUAGCUGAAUUCCAGGGAUAGAGGUCAAUGCCUGGCUGGGUUUGGUUUUGUCCUUUUAAACUUAUUCCGACUGGGUAUCUAUGUAUUACUAGCUUAUGUUUACAGGAGCAGAACAAAUCUAUUGGCAAGAUGUCAGGAAAGUGGCAGACACAGAUAGGAUUAGAAAGAAUUGUUUUAUCCUCUUUUCCUGCACCUCUAAAGUGCAAGUUACUCCAUAGAUUCCUGGGAAAAUACAAACAGUCUUUUGGAUAGUUCCUCCCUCAUCUCCAAGCUGCACAGGGGGUCGUGAGGUGGACAGCCCCCAGAACACCCCACAAGGACGGUGGGACUUGCAUUCUGCUUUCUAAAUCAGCAAAUGGUAGCUGUCUCUGUGGGUGCUGGGAAGUCUCCUCCUAUAGCAAUGGAAACAGCAGAGCCCCGAUCUUAGUGAAGUGGAGCUUCUCUGUCUUUGUGAAGGCUAAACAGCAGUCGGACGGACCCAGUCCACACACAAUGGUUAGAGAGAGCUUUCCCGGGUUCAUGAGCACGUGACUGAGCUGAGGGCAGAUCAUGAUGAAAUCACCAAGCAGAGUCUCUAAUCCCAGCAUCCAGUUUCUCUCUAGAAUCCCUGAGCAGCCGGUUCUGGCUUUUCUACCUUAAUGAUGUCAGUGGCCUCAGAUUUCCCUCACUCCUUCCUCCUUUGUCACAUAAAGCAUGUGGCUAAGAGAGUGGGCUUUGGCAUCAGACAGACGUGGGCUUGAAUCCUGGCCCUGCUGCUCACACACUGGCAGGUUAGGUCACUUUCAAAGCUAAGGGUGGGUAAGUGUCCUCAUUUGCAUUGGGGAUAAUAAUGAGAGUGCCGCCUGCCGCACUAAGACCAUUACGAAGAUUCAAUGAAGCAAUGACUGGGCGCCCCGUGGCACUGGGCUUCAUACACAUUGAGACUUUUAUCGUAAUUUUUAUGAUAUGCUGCAGGCCUCCAACAAGGUCCUUUCAAAUUCCUGCAGAUAGAGUUCAAAACCAUCCUAGAUGCAGAAGUUAUUGAACUGAAUUGAAUGACUACGAGAGGACAACCGGCCAGAGGGGCCAGCAGGAACUGACAUUUGUGGUAUAAAUUAAGGAGAACAUGGAUUUGAAAGAGACUUGGGUGCCUUUUAUACUAGUUCAUAUGCAAUUCAGAGCAAGAAGGGGUUUCUUAUUUAUUCCAUUGGAACCUGUAACACAAACUAAAAAACAAUAGCACAAAUCAACCAAUUUUCCUCUUAAACAGGAAAAAAUAUACACAGAAUUCCAAGAUGAAUACUGGAAGAAAUAGAAAUCAAAAAAAGUUUCAGCAAAGGCACUCACGCUUCCUUGACGGGGAGGUGCCUUCUCUAAUUUCAUCAGGUCUGCCCCCACUUGGCCACAAUCUCACUCCCGCACUUCUCCUUGCCCAGCCGCUCUCCUUUGCCUUCUGGCUUGUAGUUCGGAUAGUUUAAUGCACCUCAGAAUCACCUGGAGGGCUUGAGAAAAUGAAGAUUUCUGGGCCCACCCACAGAGUUUCUGAUUCAGAGUGUUGUGAGUGGGGCCUGAGAAUUUGCAUGUUUUACAAGUUCCCAGUGAUGCUGCUGCUGGCAGGGCCCUCAUUUUGAAUAGCACUGGCCUGACUCCAUCCCUUAUGAGUUACUGAACCUCUCUACGCCUCAGGUGCCUCAUCUAUAAACUGGGGAUAAGAACCUUUACACUGUAGAGUUUUUGCAAGGAUUCAGUUAGUUACUCCUCAUAAAGUGCUUAAGACAC
ensembl:lncRNA